GACGAACGCUGGCGGCGUGCUUAACACAUGCAAGUCGAACGGAAAGGCCCUGCUUUUGUGGGGUGCUCGAGUGGCGAACGGGUGAGUAACACGUGAGUAACCUGCCCUUGACUUUGGGAUAACUUCAGGAAACUGGGGCUAAUACCGGAUAGGAUCUCCUGCUGCAUGGUGGGGGUGGGAAAGUCGCGGCGGGGGGGGAUGGAUUGGCGGCUUAUCAGCUUGUUGGUGGGGUAGUGGCUUACCAAGGCAUUGACGGGUAGCCGGCCUGAGAGGGUGACCGGCGACAAUGGUACUGAGAGAGGGACCAGACGCGUAUGGGAGACAGAAGUGGGGAGUAUUGCACAAUGAGAGGGAGCCUGAUGCGGAGACGCCGCGUGCGGGAUGACGGCCUGCGGGUUGAAAAAAGCUUUAGCCUAUGACGAAGCUGGAGUGACGGUAAUGAAUGAAGAAGCACCGGCUAACUACGUG
rnacentral:rRNA from 1 species